AUUGGGGAUCUGAAACGAUAUGCUGUUCACUAUGACAAGCAUGGUCGCCCUAGUGGUUCUGCUGAAGUAAUGUACACAAGAAGAAGUGAUGCGUUUGCAGCUCUUAAGAAGUAUAACAAUGUGCUGUUAGAUGGAAAGCCCAUGAAAAUUGAAAUUGUGGGUACCACUGCAGAAAUGCCUAUCUCAGCUAGAGUUAAUGUGACUGGAGUAAAUGGAAGGAGGAAGAGGACAGUUGUCAUGACGUCUGGACCAGGUCGCAUGAGAGGCACUGCUCCUCCAACUAACUCUGGUCAGAACCGUCGCGGGGGUUUGAGAAAUGGUAGAGGUCGGCCUGGUGGGCGAGGUCGGCCUGGUGGGCGAAGCCGAGGCCGAGGCCGAGGCCAUGGGAAGAAGCAACCUUUUGAGAAGUCAGCAGAUGAUCUUGACAAGGAAUUGGAGAACUAUCAUGCUGAAUCCAUGCAAACUUAGUGUUGUUUUGUCUGUUUUGCUUAAUGCCUUUAACUUCACUACUUCAAAUCUCCAGGCUUUAUUGUAAAUGAAGAUGAUGGGUGAUUUUCGGAUCUGGUUUUUAUCAGCUCGAUUAGUUUGCUUAUUUUCAUGCUUGUUUGUGGUUGAUCUGUACUAAAUACGAGGCUAGUAAACCUUUACUGCAAUAGAGAUUCCUAUAUCACGAUUUUAUGUGCAUGCGGGAAUUAUAAAAUAAAAAGGCUAUGUACAGUUUUUCUUUUCUGUAGAACACUCUCAAGUAAAAGAGGAUUUUUUAUAGCGUUUUUAUUUUAUAAUUCCCGCAUGCACAU
rnacentral:misc_RNA from 1 species